rnacentral:rRNA from 1 species
CAGCAGCCACGGUAAUACGGAGGGGGCUAGCGUUGUUCGGAAUUACUGGGCGUAAAGCGCACGUAGGCGGCUUGGUAAGUUAGAGGUGAAAGCCUGGAGCUCAACUCCAGAAUUGCCUUUAAGACUGCCGAGCUAGCAGGUGAGAGAGGUAAGUGGAAUUCCGAGUGUAGAGGUGAAAUUCGUAGAUAUUCGGAAGAACACCAGUGGCGAAGGCGGCUUACUGGCUCAUACUGGACGCUGAGGUGCGAAAGCGUGGGGAGCAAACAGGAUUAGAUACCCCCGUAGUCCCUGUCUCUUAUAC